AUUGAACGCUGGCGGAAUGCUUUACACAUGCAAGUCGAACGGCAGCACGGGUGCUUGCACCUGGUGGCGAGUGGCGAACGGGUGAGUAACAUAUCGGAACGUACCCAGUAAUGGGGGAGUAACUAGUCGAAAGAUUAGCUAAUACCGCAUACGCCCUGAGGGGGAAAGCGGGGAUCGUAAGACCUCGCGUUAUUGGAGCGGCCGAUAUCUGAUUAGCUAGUUGGUGGGGUAAAGGCCUACCAAGGCGACGAUCAGUAGCUGGUCUGAGAGGACGACCAGCCACACUGGGAACUGAGACACGGUCCAGACUCCUACGGGAGGCAGCAGUGGGGAAUUUUGGACAAUGGGCGCAAGCCUGA
rnacentral:rRNA from 1 species